GAUGGCCUAAAUGCCUCAAAAGGCACCAGGUUCCUUCUGAUCUCAGAAGCUAAGCAGAGUCAGUCCUGGUUAGAACUUGGAUGAGAGAAACCCAAUGAUUCCCAGGUAUUGGAGACUC
rnacentral:rRNA from 11 species